rnacentral:misc_RNA from 1 species
CCCGUGGUUGAAUAUGUUAUGUCGGCUUAGCCAAAAGUUGAAGAUUUCGAUGGUCUAGCCCGAAAUGGGAGUGAGAAGUCUCUAAAAAGGCGAGCUGGGCUCAGGGAGCCGCUCUAGGGAAGAAGGAUCCCGGGAUUAAACCUGUUGUGAUGAAUUAGUCCUCCUACUCAAAGUGGUCAUCAACCACUUUCCGUCUUGGAUCUGAGUCAACGGCAUUAGCAUUUUUUUUUUUUUUUUUAUCACUACGCUGUCUGUGAAGCUAGUUUCGCCAUAUUAAAAUUGGGUUUGAGAGUCUUUACUGAUACCUAAUAGGAUAGGUGUAAAAUAGAGGUUUAAAGGUCUAUAAUCCCCUUUCACUCUUUUUCUACAAUCACUGGCGUAACAUAAUUGGAGGAUGCCCUUGCUGCGGAUUCGUCUGGUCAUUGAGAUUCGCCUCUUUUGCUCUCCCAUUCGAAACCUGGCGGAAUUUCUACCCAUCAUCCCGUCCGAAGACCGAACUUGAUUACUAUACAAACACAAAAAACAAUUUGACCCUUUGCAGAUUCUGCCUCGCUGAGUGGUUUUGUAUCACAGUCUUCUAGCCCCGAAGCCUAUCGGAAUAAGGCAGGCCGAAGUGAUAAACUGAUCUAUUGACCCUUUCUUUUUCGGAGUUUGGGUCUAUUACCAGGCUUGGACCAGGUCUACCAAACGGUGACGAACCAAUUCCUCUUUUCGCUUCCGUUACAACUGGAGGUCUUCCGCUUUAGUUGUGUCGCAUACUUCCCCGCCCCCUAACACAAGAAAAUAAGUGAACUUCCUAACGAUUCUAAUCAGGUUUCCUAUUGUUAUUGAUAGGGAUUCAAGUGCGUAAAACACCUCUUCAAGAGAAGACCCUAAGUAGCUGGAUUCUCUCAGAAGCUAUUUACGCGCUUUCAGACCUUCAGAUCCUUCGCCAUAGAAUAAAUCUAUCGGUCUGGG